rnacentral:rRNA from 1 species
AACGAACGCUGGCGGCAUGCCUAACACAUGCAAGUCGAACGAGACCUUCGGGUCUAGUGUCGCACGGGUGCGUAACGCGUGGGAACCUGCCCUUAGGUUCGGAAUAACUCCCCGAAAGGGGUGCUAAUACCGGAUAAUGUCUUCGGACCAAAGAUUUAUCGCCUUUGGAUGGGCCCGCGUUGGAUUAGCUAGUUGUUAGGGUAAAAGCCUACCAAGGCGACGAUCCAUAGCUGGUCUGAGAGGAUGAUCAGCCACACUGGGACUGAGACACGGCCCAGACUCCUACGGGAGGCAGCAGUGGGGAAUAUUGGACAAUGGGGGAAAGCCUGAUCCAGCAAUGCCGCGUGAGUGAUGAAGGCCGUAGGGUUGUAAAGCUCUUUUAACCGGGAUGAUAAUGACAGUACCGGGAGAAUAAGCUCCGGCUAACUCCGUG